GACGAACACUGGCGGCGUGCUUAACACAUGCAAGUCGAGCGGUAAGGCCCUUCGGGUACGACGAGCGGCGAACGGGUGAGUAACACGUGGGUGACCUGCCUCUAGCUCUGGGAUAAAGCCUGGGAAACUGGGUCUAAUACCGGAUAUGACUCCACGGCGCAUGUUGUGGGGUGGAAAGCCUUGUGUGGCUAGAGAUGGGCCCGCGGCCUAUCAGCUUGUUGGUGGGGUGAUGGCCUACCAAGGCGACGACGGGUAGCCGGCCUGAGAGGGCGACCGGCCACACUGGGACUGAGACACGGCCCAGACUCCUACGGGAGGCAGC
rnacentral:rRNA from 1 species